AACGAACGCUGGCGGCAUGCCUAACACAUGCAAGUCGAACGAGACCUUCGGGUCUAGUGGCGCACGGGUGCGUAACGCGUGGGAACCUGCCCUUAGGUUCGGAAUAACUCCCCGAAAGGGGUGCUAAUACCGGAUAAUGUCUUCGGACCAAAGAUUUAUCGCCUUUGGAUGGGCCCGCGUUGGAUUAGCUAGUUGGUAGGGUAAAAGCCUACCAAGGCGACGAUCCAUAGCUGGUCUGAGAGGAUGAUCAGCCACACUGGGACUGAGACACGGCCCAGACUCCUACGGGAGGCAGCAGUUGGGAAUAUUGAACAAUGGGCGAAAGCCUGAUCCAGCAAUGCCGCGUGAGUGAUGAAGGCCUUAGGAUUGUAAAGCUCUUUUGCCCGGGAUGAUAAUGACAGUACCGGGAGAAUAAGCUCCGGCUAACUCCGUG
rnacentral:rRNA from 1 species